rnacentral:lncRNA from 1 species
UGCCACCCAUUUGUUUUCGAUGAUAGAGCCUCCAAAUCGACGAUCGGCACCAUUGAACAUGAUCUAUACCACUUGAAGUGUUUAGAAAUCAAAUUUCAAAUCUUUUUGACAUCAUUUGACUAAUGAUCAAAGGGUUUCAAAAUAUGUAAUUUUAAUGGUCGAUAUGAUGCGUUUUCUCGUUUAACGGCGUAAAGAUAUCCAAAUCAAUUGAAUUUUUGUUAGAAAAUUUUUUAAACUAUUUAAAACAAGAUCUAUACUCUUGAUCUUGAUUACAAAACUCCUAUCAUCAUUUUUUAAAGAAUAUUCAUUUUCCGUCGUUUAUUUUUGUGUCCACUCGAUGGAUAAGAGAAUAAUAUCGAAAAUAUAUGAAAUUUGAUUUCUAAACACUUCAAGUGGUAUAGAUCAUGUUCAAUGGAGCCGAUCGUCAAUUUGGAAGCUCUAUCAUCGAAAACAAAUCGGUACUAAAACGACUCGUUUACUACUAAUAGUAUUCUAGCAAAACUCUAUAUAUAUAUAGAGAGAGAGAGAGAAGAGAGAGAGAGAGAGAGAAUUCUCAAAAAAUAUAUAGAGAGAGAGAGAGUGAGAGAGUAGGCUUUGUGUGUUAUUAGGAGCACGGAGGCCUCCGUGCUCCUAAGCCGUUUUCGAUGAUGGAGCUUUCGAAUCGACGAUCAGCUCCAUUAGACUUGAUCUAGUAUAUUUCAAGUAUCUAGAAAAUAAUUUUUAUGACUUUUCAGUAUUAUUUUCCUAGCUAUCGAAAGGGUUCAAAAUUUUAAUGGUUGAUAUAUACCGUUUGCAAGUUUAACCGUAUAGAAGUAUUCAAAUCAAAUGAAAUUUUGAUAGAAAAUUCUUUAAACUAUU